GAGCAGCCUGCUGAACAGUCCUCAAAGGAGGCAGCUGGGGAUAGUGGGCAACAUCUUCUUGGAGAUGGACCCAGCCUUGGGAGGGCCUAGGUUCAGGCCGGUCCUCCAGUGCCCAGCCAGGAUUUGGGCAGAGAAGGAGAUGCUCGCUCGCCUUCAUGCCUGCCUCCCAGAUCCAGCACCCGGCCUUGGAGUAGGGGCGCUGGGCAGCGACCCUGAGGUUCAGGCACACACUUAAGACUCAUCCAAUUCGGAGGACCUAAGGAGGCUCCCAGAUUUUAUUUGACAGAGAGCGAACGAGAGAGCACAAGCAGGGGGAGUGGCAGAGGGAGAGGGAGAAGCAGACUCCCCGCUGAGCAGGGAGCCCAUGCAGGGCUCCAUCCAAGGACCCUGGGAUCAUGACCUGAGCUGAAGGCAAACACCCAACUGACUGAGCCACCCAGGCACCCAAUGUAAUGACUUGUGAUGUAAGUGUACAUUCAUUAACCAUUACAACAAUCUAAAUAAUGAGCAUAUAUCACCCCCAAAUUUUCCCAUUAUUUUAUUUGUUUGUUUGUUUAUUGUAGGCUCCACGCACAGUAUGGAGCCCAGUGGGGGGCUUGAACUCAUAACCCUGAGAUCAAGACCUGAGCUGAGAUCAAGGGUCAGAUGUCUAACCAACUGAGGCACCCCUCUCCAUGUCCUUUUUAUUUUUUUCCCCCAUAUCCUUUUUCAAUUCCCUUCUCCUGACCACCCCCCACCCUGAGUUUUUAAUUUUGAUGAAAUGUAACUUUUUUUUUUUUAAGAUUUUAUUUAUUUAUUUGAGAGAGAGAGAAUGAGAGAGAGCACAUGAGAGGGGGGAGGGUCAGAGGGAGAAGCAGACUCCCUGCCGAGCAGGGAGCCCGGUGCGGGACUCGAUCCCGGGACUCCAGGAUCAUGACCCGAGCCGAAGGCAGUCGCUCAACCAACUGAGCCAUCCAGGCGCCCUUAUUUAUUUAUUUUUUUUUAAAGAUUUUAUUUAUUUAUUUGAGAGAGAGAGAAUGAGAGACAGAGAGCAUGAGAGGGAGGAGGGUCAGAGGGAGAAGCAGACUCCCCGCCGAGCAGGGAGCCUGAUGCGGGACUCGAUCCCGGGACUCCAGGAUCAUGACCUGAGCCGAAGGCAGUCGCUUAACCAACUGAGCCACCCAGGCGCCCCCAGGCGCCCUUAUUAAUUCAAUAUUGUACUGGAGGUCCUAACUAAUACUAUAAGACAAGAAAAAUAAAUAAAAAGCAUCCAGAUUGGAAAGGGAGAGGUAAACCUCUCUUUAUUCACAGACAUGUGAAAAGUCUUAAGGAAUUUACAUAGGAGCUACUAAAACUAAUAAAUGAGUUUAGCAAGGUUGGAGGAUACAAGUUAAUAUGCAAAAAUUAAUUCUAUAUACACUAGCAAUGACCAUUUAGAAUUUGAAAUUGAUAAAAGUAAUACCAUUUACAAUAGCAUCAGAAAUAUGAAAAACUUAGGGACAAAUUUGACUAAAAAUAUACAAGAUCUGUAUGUUGAAAAUUACAAAACACUGUUGAGAGAAAUUAAAGAUAACUUGACUGAAUGGAGAGCUAUACCAUCCUCAAGGAUGAGAGGACUCAAUAUUAAGAUGUCAGUUCUCCCCAAAUUAGUCUACAGAUGCAAUGCAAUACCAACCAAAUCCCAGUAGGCUUUUUAAAAAAAUACAAAUUAGCUGAUACUAAAGUUUACAUGGAAAUACAAAAGACUCUGAAUAGCCAAAACAAUUUUGAGAAAGAACGAGUUUGGAUGAUUUAUACUACCCUAUUUCAAAACUUAUUAAAAAGUUACAGUGGGGCGCCUGGGUGGCUCAGUCGGUUAAACGUCUGUCUUGGGCUCAGGUCAUGGUCCCAGGGUCCUGGGAUCAAGCCCCGCAUCGGGCUCCCUGCUCAGCGGGAAGCUGGCUUCUCCCUCUGCCUGCCUCACCCCCUGCUUGUGCUAUCUAUCAAAUAAAUAAAUAAAAUAAAAAAUCUUUUAAAAAAAGCUACAGUAAUCA